GACCUCAUUUCGGGUGAG
rnacentral:rRNA from 1 species